UAAAAACCUCAUGGAGAAGUUUGGCUCUUAUAACACCCUGCAAGCAGCUAUUUCCUCCCAGGACCCUGCAUUUGACAGAGUCCUGGUAAAGUCCUUGACCCAGCAGCUGGUACAGGGAUGCAAGGAGGCGUCAAGACCAGCUUCUGCUGCAACAAACCCAUCAGACCAGGCUGAGACAGAGAGGGGGGCUGAGCAGAAAGCAAGAAGGAGCUUCCUUUGCUUUUCAAUGACCAAACUCAGGAUCAACUUCAAGCGUUCCAAGAGAGGAAACAAAAAGGACUGCCAUUCAGUCCAGGAACAGACUGAGAUUCCCUCUACUGAUGGACAUUGCAUAGCUCCAGUUGGAGAGGUUUCUCCCUCCAUAUCUCAGCCUGUCAAAAAACGAUCCUUGAUUGUCAGGGUCUUUUCAGCAAUGAUGAAGCCAUUCAGGCGCUUCACCAAGAAGAACCUGUAACCUGUUACGCUGCAUGAAGAACUACUUUUGUAACAGCAAGACUUUUGACAAGAGGAAUUUCUGCAUGUCUACCCUUUCAGAGUCUAUUUGAUCAAAUAAAUGGCAAUGAUUU
ensembl:lncRNA